rnacentral:ncRNA from 12 species
AUCCUUUUGUAGUUCAUAAGCGUGAUGAUUGGGUAUUCACGCUGCUGUGUGAGAUGUGCCUCCCACGAACCUUGUAACACCUUUGGCACAUUACCUGUCUGACG